UGAGUGCUGUGUGCGAGUACUUUGCACUCUUCGUGUUAUUGUGUCCACCUUCUGUGGCCUUUAUUUCCACAUUCUCCUGGAGUUCGUUUUGUUGUUCUGGCCAGCCCUGCCUCCCUCCCUGCAGCCACACAGUGUGGGUGGGGCGGCUACACUCACAUAUUAAAGGCAGUUGAGGAAAUACGACAUUUCUGCAGUUGGAUCUACCGCACGCGGAGCUCCGCAGCCAUGGCUUCAGCACUGUUUGUCGUGUUCGCACAUUUCUGGAUAAUUUCCCUGUGCCAGGCCGAAGGCUCAGUAGCUGGAUGCCCUCACCACAUCGUCGCUCUUGGGUGACAGCCCAGCAGCAGUCUCUCCAGUGAGGGUGCGCCAGCAGUGGACAUCUCAGCAGCUGGAUGCACUCACCACCACGUCGCUCCCAGGUGGCAGCCCACCAGCAGUGGCGGUCUCUCCAGUGAGGGCGCGCCUACAACCGAAGGCUCAGCAGCUGGAUGCCCACUCCACCACGUCCCUCCGGGGUGACAGCCCACCAGCAGCGGCGGUCUCUCCAGCGAGGGCAUGCCUACAACCGUAGGCUCAGCAGCUGGAUUCCCACUCCAUCGCACCGCUCCCGGGUGGCAGCCCACCAGCGGCAGCAGCCUCUCCAGUGAGGGCAUGCUGACGGCCAAAAGCUCAGCAGCUGGAUGCCUACUCCAUCGCGCCGCUCCCGGGUGACAAACCGGUUAAAAUAAAUAAAGCGAUUAUUAAACACCGUAAGUACAAGUUCCUUGAGACCUUAAACCAUGCUCAUGUUAUAUGGGACUUAGAAGCCAAACCAAGGGGUUUACUUGGAGGACACUUGAAUAUAUGAAGCAUUAUAUUCAAAUGUGAUCAAGUACAACAUAUUAAAUGAUUCAAACCUAGAUUAUCUUUGUAUCUCCGAGACAUGGCUACACACCAACUCUCCAACCGCAGGGCUAAAUGUACCGGGCUACAAUAUUUUUCGAAAAGAUAGGUCAGAAGGCAGAGGCGGUGGGGUGAUAUUUUAUAUUAGGGACCACUUAAAGUAUAAACAAAUAACAUGGUCAUGUGUAACUAAUCUAGAAUGUAUCGGCCUCACUAUUACCCUCUCACAGCAAAUGACAUUUACACUAAUUGGAAUUUAUAGACCUCCGUCGGCUCUUAGUGGAUUCUAUGAGGAAUUGAAGGCCAUUUUAAAUGAAUGCAAUUUUAAAAAUGAGGUUGUUUUACUUGGCGAUUUCAAUGUUAAUUGGAAUGCUAAAACCAAUCGGAAGCAUUUACAAUUCUUAGCAAAUACCUUUGAAUUAACACAACUUAUAAAGGAACCUACCAGAAUAAGCAGCUCUUCUAAAACAUGUAUAGAUUUGGUUUUCACCAACAAAGCCAAUAGAAUACAAAAAAAUCUAUAACAUGGUCACCGGCCUGUCAGACCAUAAUAUGAUCCUUUUCUCAAGAAAACUGACAAAAAAUAGAUUCACUUGUCUCCCGGGUAAACAAUCCGAGCAACUGAGAAUUCCCAAGGGUGAGAUACAAAAUUUAGAAAAAGCCUUGAAUGACAUCAUUUGGUCUGACCAUCUCACCUAUGAUCAUGUGAAUGAAAACUGUCAUGCUUUCAUGACUGUUAUUCAGGACACAAUGUAUCACUUUAUGGAAAAGUGUAAGUCAAAACCACGAAAAAAGGAUCAUCUACCCUGGCUGAAUAGUGAAAUAUGGGCACUGAUGAAACAGCGGGACCAUGCCCCUAAAAUGGCCAUCAAGACAAAAAAUGCUCAUAAUAGGAAAAUAUUCACUACACUCAGAAACAAAGUCACAAAGGAAAUAAGAAAUGCAAAGACACAUUUCUUUAUUAAUGCAAUACGACAUGCUAGGGGCAAUGCUAAGGAAGUAUGGACAAACAUAAAGAAAUUAACUGGAAAUAAUUUCACAAAUAGGAGCAUCAGGGAGUUGCAAAUUGAUAAUAAUGUAACCCAUGAUCAAAAUGAAAUUGUAACUGUUCUUAACACCUAUUUUAUAGACUCUGUCAGAAACUUGUCUUUUAGCUCCACAUCAUGCCUCUAAUGUCUCUGAAUAGUGGUACUCCAGUCUUCACAUUACAUGAAAUAUCACAGAUAAAUGUUGACAGUAUUAUCUGUAAUCUAAAAAACUCCAAAGCCAAAGAUGCGUUCGGUAUGGACACUAUGUUUGUGAAAGCCAAUAAACAAUCAUUCAUUGCUCCACUUGCCAGUAUAAUCAAUCAGUCCAUAAAUGAAGGGGUUUUUCCUAAUUCCUGGAAAUCUGCAGUUAUUACACCAGUUUUCAAAUCGGGUAACCCAACUUCAAUUAGUAACUAUAGGCCCAUAAGCAUUUUACCAACAGUUUCCAAAAUUGCUGAGAAAUGGACUGCAGAACAACUCAUUAAGCACGUGAACAAUAGUCCAUACACUCUAAAUCCAAUGCAAUUUGGCUUUAGAAAACAUCAUUUCACAGAGACAGCAGUUUGUUGUUUGUUUUUCUGGAAAAUGUAAAAUCAAAGAUUGAUGCAGGAGGAGUUAUAGGAGCUGUGUUUUUAGAUUUUAAAAAAAGCAUUUGAUACGGGAAAUCAUGAGACCUUGUUGACUAAGCUGUCUUACUUUAACAUUUCAUUAAGCAGUUUGAAAUGGAUGGAAUCAUAUAUUGCAGAAAGAAAACAAUGUGUCAGAGUAGACAAUGUAAAAUCUGCAACUUGUGAUAACACUGUUGGUGUGCCUCAAGGGUCGAUUCUUGGGCCACUGUUAUUCAGUCUAUAUAUCAAUGAUCUGCCAACUUGUUGUCCUCCAAAUGUAUCCUGUCAGAUGUAUGCAGAUGACGCAGUGUUGUAUGUACAGGCUAAAAACAAAUGUCAGGCCGCACAAGAUCUAUCUGCUGCUAUAGUUCAUGUUUCAAAUUGGCUACAAUGUUCACGGUUACAUCUUAAUGCACCAAAAACUGUCUGCAUGUUUUUCUCAAAAAAAGGAAAUAAUGACAUAUUACCUGAUGUGUUUGUAAAUGGGAACAAGCUUUAAGUGGUAGGUGAAUUCAAAUAUCUUGGAAUAAUUAUCGAUUCACAACUAUGCUUCAAGCAACAAGUAAAGAGAGCUGUGAACCGAACCAAAUUCAACCUGUCUAACUUCAGAUACAUAAGAAACAACCUGACUACCGAAUCAGCAAAAUUAUAUUUCAGUGCUAUGGCAAUGACACAUUUAACUUAUUGCAUAACAAUCUGGGCACUGGCAUGCAAGACCACGCUUAAAUCAGCUGAAAUUGUGUAUAAACAGGCAAUCAAAAUUUUAGGCAAAAAAAACCAAAGCAUACCACCAUUGCAACAUUUUGAGAAAACAUGGUCUUCUGAGUUGGGGAAACACAAUAAAACAUGCAGAUGGUGUCUUGGUGUACAAAAUUCUCCAUGGUCUGGCUCCGCCUCCGUUGGGUGAAUUUAUAAAAACGAACCCUAUGAGGUCAACGAGAGCCGGCUCUAGAGGGGAUUGUCAAGUCCCGCUCAGGAAAAGUGUUUUCGGACAGACAGUGUUUUCAUAUCGAGCGACCCAGACAUGGAACACCAUACCAAAUACUAUACGGUAUUCGCCAACUCUUGCCUCAUUCACUGGACAUUUCAAAACACGGCUACUAGAGAAUCAAAUUUGCACUGAUGCAUCUUAAGAAUUUUAUUUUAUUUAUUUAUUAUUAUUAUUAUUAUUAUUUUAAUGUAUUCUCUAAUUGCUGUUCUGUGUAUCUGUGCAACUGGUUUGUUGGAGUACCAUAUUUGUAUGUGCAAGUGUGUCAAGUGCUGUAGGUGACAUUGUGCAAUAUGAAUUGACACUUAGCAAUUAGCACUUUACAAACUGCACUAUGCACUUUACUGCGUUAGGGCAUGUGCAAUAUACCGGGGUGUCUGCAAUACACACUCAGCACUUUGGCACUCUCCACUUUAACUAGCACACCUGCACUUUGUAAUCGGACUGAAAUUUCUAUGGUCGCCCAACUCUUUGCCUGUUGUGUCUUUUGUGGUUUACUAUCUUGUCCUCUGUGUAUUUGAUUUUCUUUUGUUGGCAUUAUUGAUUAUGUGUUCGACACCAACCUGCCAAUGGGACUGGAGAUGGAAAUUAGCCACCUGGCUAUAAUCUCGUGCAUUUACAUGUAAAUGUCCAUUAAUGCAUAUUGUCCCAUUUUCUGAAAAAAUAAAUAAAUCUCAAAUCUCAAUACACCACUAUAA